CAGUCGAACGAGCGAGAGAGAGCUUGCUUUCUCGAGCGAGUGGCGAACGGGUGAGUAACGCGUGAGGAACCUGCCUCAAAGAGGGGGACAACAGUUGGAAACGACUGCUAAUACCGCAUAAGCCCACGGCUCGGCAUCGAGCAGGGGGAAAAGGAGUAAUCCGCUUUGAGAUGGCCUCGCGUCCGAUUAGCUAGUUGGUGAGGUAACGGCCCACCAAGGCGACGAUCGGUAGCCGGACUGAGAGGUUGAACGGCCACAUUGGGACUGAGACACGGCCCAGACUCCUACGGGAGGCAGCAGUGGGGAAUAUUGCACAAUGGGGGAAACCCUGAUGCAGCGACGCCGCGUGGAGGAAGAAGGUCUUCGGAUUGUAAACUCCUGUUGUUGGGGAAGAUAAUGACGGUACCCAACAAGGAAGUGACGGCUAACUACGUGCCAGCAGCCGCGGUAAAACGUAGGUCACAAGCGUUGUCCGGAAUUACUGGGUGUAAAGGGAGCGCAGGCGGGAAGACAAGUUGGAAGUGAAAUCUAUGGGCUCAACCCAUAAACUGCUUUCAAAACUGUUUUUCUUGAGUAGUGCAGAGGUAGGCGGAAUUCCCGGUGUAGCGGUGGAAUGCGUAGAUAUCGGGAGGAACACCAGUGGCGAAGGCGGCCUACUGGGCACCAACUGACGCUGAGGCUCGAAAGUGUGGGUAGCAAACA
rnacentral:rRNA from 1 species